GGGCCCGCACAAGCGGUGGAGCAUGUGGUUUAAUUCGAUGAUACGCGAGGAACCUUACCAGGGCUUAAAUGUAGUGGGACAGGUCUAGAGAUAGACCCUUCUUCGGACUCAUUACAAGGUGCUGCAUGGUUGUCGUCAGCUCGUGCCGUGAGGUGUCAGGUUAAGUCCUAUAACGAGCGCAACCCCCUAUCGUUAGUUGCCAGCGAGUAAUGUCGGGAACUCUAACGAAACUGCCAGUGCAAACUGUGAGGAAGGUGGGAUGACGUCAAAUCAUCACGGCCCUUACGUCCUGGGCUACACACGUGCUACAAUGGCCGGUACAGAGAGCAGCCACUUCGCAAGAAGGAGCGAAUCUAUUAAAACCCCGGUC
rnacentral:rRNA from 1 species